rnacentral:rRNA from 1 species
UACGUAGGGUGCAAGCGUUGUCCGGAAUUAUUGGGCGUAAAGAGCUCGUAGGCGGUUCGUCGCGUCGGCUGUGAAAACCCGAGGCUCAACCUCGGGCCUGCAGUCGAUACGGGCGGACUGGAGUUCGGCAGGGGAGACUGGAAUUCCUGGUGUAGCGGUGGAAUGCGCAGAUAUCAGGAGGAACACCGGUGGCGAAGGCGGUUCUCUGGGCAUUACCUGACGCUGAGGAGCGAAAGUGUGGGGAGCGAACAGG